rnacentral:piRNA from 1 species
UCCUUUUACUUAGAGGAUGUAUAAUGUAG